rnacentral:rRNA from 1 species
AUUGAACGCUGGCGGCAGGCCUAACACGUGCAAGUCGAAUGGUAACAGGAAACAGCUUGCUGUUUCGCUGACGAGUGGCGGACGGGUGAGUAAUGUCUGGGAAACUGCCUGAUGGAGGGGGAUAACUACUGGAAACGGUAGCUAAUACCGCAUAACGUCGCAAGACCAAAGAGGGGGACCUUCGGGCCUCUUGCCAUCAGAUGUGCCCAGAUGGGAUUAGCCAGUAGGUGGGGUAACGGCUCACCUAGGCGACGAUCCCUAGCUGGUCUGAGAGGAUGACCAGCCACACUGGAACUGAGACACGGUCCAGACUCCUACGGGAGGCAGCAGUGGGGAAUAUUGCACAAUGGGCGCAAGCCUGAUGCAGCCAUGCCGCGUGUAUGAAGAAGGCCUUCGGGUUGUAAAGUACUUUCAGCGGGGAGGAAGGGAGUAAAGUUAAUACCUUUGCUCAUUGACGUUACCCGCAGAAGAAGCACCGGCUAACUCCGUG